rnacentral:sRNA from 1 species
ACGGGUGGGGGACUAGGGAGGCAAGGUUAGGGGUGGGGGGCGGGGAGAAUGAAGCCCUGGGUGACCCCCCUUUCCCUGCCCUUCCUCUCCCACAGCGCUUUGGCUCUGCCCUGGUGCCCACUGGGAACCUGCAGUUGAGGAAGAAGGUGUUUGAGAAGGACUUCGGCCCCAUAGACCCGGAGUGCACCUGCCCCACAUGCCAAAAGCACAGCCGCGCCUUCCUGCACGCACUGCUGCACAGUGACAACACGGCCGCGCUGCACCACCUCACGGUCCACAACAUCGCCUACCAGGUGAGCCAGUGCCCGGGGCAAGGCGGGCGGGGGUGUCCUAGGUGCAUAUGCCCCACGCUGACCUCCCCUCCCCGCAGCUGCAGCUCAUGAGCGCCGUCCGCACCAGCAUCGUGGAGAAGCGCUUCCCGGACUUUGUGCGGGACUUUAUGGGCACCAUGUACGGGGAUCCCACCCUCUGUCCCACCUGGGCCACUGACGCCCUGGCCUCUGUGGGAAUCACACUGGGCUGACCUGGUGUUAGAAGAGGGAGGGAGGAAAGGAGGGAGGGAGGGGCUGGAAGAUACUGAAGGAUUUCUUUUUGGAAGGUUUUUUUUAUUGUAACUU